UGGACGAUGGCUACUGUAUGUAUACAAAAUUAAAAUUAGAGUAUGGGUUACAGUCAAUUUUUCAAUAUAUAAAAUAAGUCCACAAGUCAGUGAUUUAGUUACAAUCCAUUCCACAAUUUCCAAACCUUGCCAAAAAUGGCCAAUGACAACGUGAAUUAUAAAUAACGAACAUUCAGCUAGUGAAAACUAAAAUACCAGUCACUUUUCUAUGACAAUAGAACACGUCUUAUUGCGUAUUAUAGUACAUGUUCUACCCAGUGUAAGUUUGAAGAUGUUGAUUAUGAUGCAUAUCAAGUCCAUUGUUCGUAUAACAGGUACUGUACUCACGCACGUUGUUAGCUUGAUUACGAGUAUUCGAACAGGUGCAAUGUACCGUACAGCAAAGUACUGCUUUAAGUACUGUGCAUCUUUCUUAACUAUCAAGUCUUCCUUGCCGCGUUACCUUUUCUUCGUACUGG